CAAGGCCAGGUUGGAUGGAACCCUGGGCAGCCUGAUGUAGCGAAUGGCAGCUCUGUCUGUGAGUGACCUACGUGGUAACUGGGCUUCUCCACCGGCCAGAGCUUUUCCAGUCAGCAUCCAAACCCACUGUGUAAUCACCUGGUUUAUUGGCUGUCCUUGUGCUCACACGGGCAACAACAGCAGCAGUGACUCCCAGCAGUGUGGUGCCAUGGCAAGCCUUAACCCUGUAUGGCUGCUGCCCGAAACAAGCCAGGAGCUGGGGCUUGUGUGUGCAGUCAGAGCCUGCAUGCUGGGUAUGUGGGCAGAGACACAUAACACAACCAGUCAGAUUAAUCAUCUGGCUGAAUGUAUUCUGGUUUAUGGAUUAUCAGCUGCACUUUUCGGCUUUAACAUCAGCACUUGGGCAAGACCUCAAACACAGCCCUUCCCAUCGCCAUCUUAAAAUCAUAGAAUUAUAGAAUAGCUUGAGUUGGAAGGGACAUGAAAGGUCAUCUAGUUCCAACCCCCCACCAUGGGCAGGGCUGCCACCCACCAGCUCAGGGUGCCCAGGGCCCCAUCCAACCAGGCCUUGAGUGCCUCCAAGGUGGAGCACCCACAGCUUCUCUGGGCAGAGAGAUAUGCUUGUCUUCAAACAGGGCAGCUAAAAGCAAAUUAGGGUAGACUGGGCAUCACCUGUAACAUUUUC
ensembl:lncRNA